AUGCAUGAUAGCCACCAAACUAUUCCUCAAAGUAAAUCAUCCCACUAAUGCCAUUAUUUAAAGGGACCAAUAACACUUACAUGCUUGUACGUACUUGUGCUCAUAAUUUUGAUUCACAAUGGAAAAUCAGCAAGAGAAACAGCAGCCCAAGAAACAGAAUUCAAACAAAAAGAAACCGCCUUUACCAGUUGGGAUAAGAAAAUGUUGUCCAUACUCAAAACCCAAGGGGGAUAGAAGCUUUCUUGAAGGAUGCCUCUUUGCUUUAUGCUGCUGUUGGAUCUGUGACUUGUGCUUUGAUACCACAGUUGUGAUUGGAUAAGAGGCUUGAUGAGAGGUUGCAGUGUAUCAAAAUCAUCUUCACCAGGAUCACCUAGCUUUUUUAUGUAUAAGAGAAAUAUGUUUCUAUAAUUUGAUUCAGUAAUUUUAUAUCCCUGUGUGUGAGAUAUCUAAUUCUUUGAGUCUGGCUCAAGCUUAUGUUCAUGAGUUGAUUACUUGUUUUAGUCCUGGGAAAUUUUCAAGUUCUAUAGAUAUAUAUGUAUUUGGAGCAGUUUCGUGUGCAUAAUGAAUAAAGCCAUAAGAGUCGAGCAUGGUUUUUCUUA